rnacentral:rRNA from 1 species
AAUGAACGUUGGCGGCGUGGAUUAGGCAUGCAAGUCGAACGCGUGUAGCAAUACACGAGUGGCGAAAGGGACAGUAAUACGUAGAUACGUACCCUCCGGCCUGGGAUAGUCCGUCGAAAGACGGGGUAAUACCAGAUAACGUCUCCGGACCAAAGGUGUGAUUCCACCGGUGGAGCGGUCUGCGUCCUAUUAGCUUGUUGGUGGGGUAACGGCCUACCAAGGCAAUGAUGGGUAGCGGGUGUGAGAGCACGACCCGCGUCACUGGGACUGAGACACUGCCCAGACACCUACGGGUGGCUGCAGUCGAGGAUCUUCGGCAAUGGACGCAAGUCUGACCGAGCGACGCCGCGUGCGGGAUGAAGGCUUUCGGGUUGUAAACCGCUGUCAGUGGGGAGGAAAUCUAUGCGGGUUCUCUCGCAUAGUUGACCUAUCCGCAGAGGAAGCAAGGGCUAAGUUCGUGCAGCCGCCGCAGUAAAAC